rnacentral:rRNA from 1 species
GUCUACGGCCAUACCACCCCGAACAUGCUCGAUGUCGUCUGAUCUCGGAAGCUAAGCAGUGUUGGGCCUGGUUAGUAGUUGGAUGGGAGACCACCUGGGAAUACCAGGUGCUGUAGGCU